GCUUAUUUAGUUUAAAAUGCAAAAUUUUGAUUUGUGAUAUCAAGGAUCUUUUUGAGGAUAGGCU
rnacentral:tRNA from 1 species